AAUAUCUUUUACUAAAGUUUUUCAUCCAAUACAUACAUUCCAAUCAAAGUAUUUACACCAGUAUAGCUCUACACUAAAAUGGUAUAAAACAUCAUAUACAUUCUUUUAUACUAGUUGCAGAAAUAAAAUCCAUCUAUAGUUUGCCUGGUAUCAUCUAAAAACACAUGUAGGUUGCUCUAAGAACAUAUGAAGUUUACAGUGACAAAAAAAUGUUUAGAAAAAGUCAUUUUAAUAUGUAUGAUGUUACUGUAGAUCAUACAGUCCUACAAAUAAAUUAAAGUGUUCACAGUUUAAUAUACAAAUAUAUUAAAAUAGGUUGCUUGGCCUCAUUUAAGGACCCAUUUAUCCAUGUGCACCUACAGCAUUGUUAUUCUCAAGAUCUUUAAUGGAUUGUCACCCGUCACAUACAGAAUUUAAGAUGAGGAAUCAAUUUUGGAGAGUUUGAGCUUUUCUUGUUUGCCACUACUACUGUAAUGGUACGAGUUACAACAACCUCCUCAGAUAAAAGAGGUGUGGUGGCUCUGUGGCUGGAAGGUUGCUGGUUCAUAUCCCGUGGCUGGCAGAGGAAUCCUACUCCAUUUGGCCCCUGAUCAAGGCCCUUAACCCCUCCUGCUUCAGGGGUGCUAUGUAAAUGGCUAACCCCAAGCUUCUCUCCCUGUCUGUGUGUCUCAUGGAAAGCACAUUGGGAUAUAUGGAAAGACAAAUUCCUUAUACAAGAAAUUGUAUAUGGCCAAUAAAGUGACCUUCUCUCUUAUUAAAGUACUGGGUAAGAAUUAGGUUGGGCUGUAAUCAUUAUUUAAAAUCUAGACUUAUACACUUAUUACAUGAUUUUCCUUCCUAGUGCUACAACAGUCACCAUGUACUGUAUUUAAAACUCUACAAUUGUACCAUUGCGUACACUUAUAUAUGUGAUUUGGGCUGCCAGCUAACCAAAGCCAUUAUAACAUGUCAGUAUGAUAUAGUAUUAGGUUAAAUUUAAUUUCAAAGCUAUUAUUAAUAUGUAUUUGCACUAUAUACCCAUUUUUCCUUUCCAUUAUUUUCUAUACUAUAAAACACAUUUCAAGACAUCAUGUAACAACAUGAUACUUUGUUCUUUAGAAAUGCACACAUCUCUCCUUAUUAAUAAUAGCCUUAUUAGCAAUAGUAUGAUGACCCUAUUAUUAAAGAGCGUGAAAUGUGAAGACAAUGUGUGUGAAUAGGUAUGAAAUCACAAAACAAAACAACACACACGGUACACUUUUGUGUUCUGGUGAAUUAAAAACAAAUAAAUGUACAAAACAUGAUGAAUGGCUGUAAGCAAAGAGACCUAGUGCAACAUGUAACAGCAUAAUUACAUUUAGUGAGACCAUCAUUAGUAU